rnacentral:rRNA from 1 species
GCAGCCGCCGCGGUAAUACGAAGGGGGCUAGCGUUGCUCGGAAUUACUGGGCGUAAAGGGAGCGUAGGCGGGUCGUUUAGUCAGAGGUGAAAUCCCGGGGCUCAACCUCGGAACUGCCUUUGAUACUGGCGACCUUGAGUAUGGGAGAGGUAAGCGGGACUCCGAGUGUAGAGGUGAAAUUCGUAGAUAUUCGGAAGAACACCAGUGGCGAAGGCGGCUUACUGGCCCAUUACUGACGCUGAGGCUCGAAAGCGUGGGGAGCAAACAGGAUUAGAUACCCCUGUAGUCCCUGUCUCUUAUAC